UUUUCAUUUUGUCUGCACCAGCCUGGGCGCAGGCGAGCGCGGGAGAGAGGGAGGGAGAGGGAGGCGCACGCCAACAGAAAGCUGCCGUGCUCAGACGCGGGCCUGCGGCCACGUCCCUCCGCAGCCGCCCCAGCAGCCGUUCCCGCUCCCUCGUCCCCCUCUCCCUGCCCACCCGGCUUCGCCUGCCAAGUCCGAGUUGGCACGGCUCCCCCGGCUGCGCCGAACAAAGCCGUCACCCAUCCCCGAGCCGGCGCUGACAGUAAGCAAAGUGACAGGCGCAUCUUCCGCAUGUUAAUCCAAACGGCGAGAAGGCGAGCGAGCGGCAGAGGCCCCCCCGUGCCAUGCACACACACACCCCCCCCCACCGAGCCACGCACCCCACCCUUGGCACCCGACAGCCCCGGUGGCCUCGUGCGGGGAUGGCGAGGCCCCCGCCGGCGGGAGCACUGAAGCCUCCUCGUCGGCGAGGUUUAAAUUGAGCCGAAGCCCUGCUCGGCGGGCAAACGAGGCCACUCGGCAUCUGCUGUACCUGUUCCCGCUGCCUUCAUCUCGCCUUGGAACCGUGACAAGAGCGCACUCGCCUCUGGUGGGCUCUCAAAGCCGCGGGUCUGUAACCCUUUGCAGGAAGUUGGCACCGAUCCCAGGAAUUAUUUGCCUACGUGGAGCUCGGCGCUGCGGGAGAACAGAGCAAACAGCCUUAUCGAGGGCAGCUGUGCCACAGGGCACUUCCUCAUGUGUGGCUGCAAGAUGGGGCCCUCCAUGGCUGCGGGGGGGCUGGCAGCCCCUAGCCUUCCCACUGACCAGACACCAGGGACACACCAGGCACUGUCCAGGCAUCAGGAGAGCUCUCUGGGAUGUUUCCCUCCCGGUUCCACGGCGGGAGAGCAGCACAGCCACGAGGGGGUUUGGACUGGACUGAAAGGUCUUCAGCAGGCCGAUUUGCAGGGGAAACAGUCGCUCUGAGCUCAGCUGCACCUCCCUGGGCACAAAGGCUCAUCUCGUUGCUUCCCAGAUCCUGCCAGACUCAAGUGCCCAAGCCCGGCGGAGAGACAGACCAGCCUUGACCUGAGAUUCCCUCUCCUGGCUGCUGCCGCUGCCUCCCUUCUCCCCCAGGCAGCUGGGAGCAGAUGAGGCCAAAGUCCCAGCAAUCUCAGUUUUCCACUGGAGGCUGAUAAACGGCACGGGCACGGAACGGCAGCGAUCCCCACCCAACCUGGCUUUGUGCAGGAGAGUCAAUAUUUAAACCAGAGUUUGUUUCCUGGGCAGACAGGGGAGUGCCAGUGGGAGAAAUCCCCGGCUCCAUCCUGGGCGCCAGACCCAAACCUCCUCCUCCACCCCUUCAUUUGUUCUCCCGACCACGUUCCACCCUGGAUCCCCUCUCCUAUGGGAAUGGGGCCCCAUCCCCUUCAGCUGGGAUACCUGAGCACUGACUAAUGGGCAGCAAUUUAAGGGAGAGGGAUGCCCAGCCAGGGUUUGGGUUGUCUCCUUGCCUGCUCCUGGUGGAGAUAAUUUGUCCCCUCAAACGAAGCAUGGGACAACAAUCAAGGAUAGAAAUAGGAGGUGAGGAAAUAUUCAAUCAUGCUAAGAAUGGCAGCCCCUGCUUCAAAGUAAGGCAGUGCACUGAAAGCUUUGAAACCUGGUUUUCAUUUAAAUUGAGCAAAAACUAUAGUCAACUGUUGAGUUUUCAGCCAAGUUUGUGGGCCCUGAUGAAAUGGGCAGAAAUUACUGGCAGGAUGCAUGCACUGGUGCAGCUUUAGGUAAAUUCCUUAGGUAAAUUCCUCAAAGGACAGGAAAUAGCACCUUUCCAUGCAGUAGCUGCAGUCAGGCAGUGCAGAGGCUGCAUGAGGUUUCACAGGCAUGUGACCAGCAGAAGGUGGCUUUAAUUUGGAGGAUAAAGGUCCAUGCUCCUGAGCAGGUGCUGUGUGACCUGGGAGAUGCAAUGCCCUGUGUUGGAGCAGGUCAUAAAACAAGGUGAUAAAAGGCCAGUGGGGAAGGAUGGAGCUGUCAGGGGGAAGAUGGAAUGGCUGAGCCCAGAUGACGGGUCUGGCAGCAGCAAAGGGUCUCCAUCACCCCUUCCAGAAGACCUGAGGGUCAAUUUUAACUCCAGAAACCUAAUUUCACAUACAUUGUUUGAAGCAGCCAGGCGCUCUGCUGCCUCCCCGCUCACUCCAGGUGCACCCACUGCAGUUUGCUCAGCCUAAAUAUGCCCACCUUCCAUGGAGGUGGGGAAAAUCAGGGGGGAAAUGAGUUUUAAACAGCUGGUUUAGCCCAUGCUUUGGGGAAAAAACCAAAAGAAGUGCCUGUCUUAAACUUUCUGUGAGUGAGGAAGCACAUUAUGCAAGAAAAAAAAAUCAAAAAAAAAAAAAAAAGGAAAGACCCAAUAAUUGUUUUAUAGCUGUAUUUUGGAGCAUAAUUAAAUCCUCUUUGAAAUCAUCUCUGGUGUUAGGGAACAGGUCCAUGCAUUAUUUAACUGUAACACAAACUGGGAGGGAGGGAGGACAAACAGGACCAAUUUCACAACACCGAAGGGAGCUGGGUGGGGGCUGCCAGUCCCAGCACAUACCACCACCGUCCUGCAAGCCUGGCUGGGGGUGUGCAUCGACCCUGCCUGCUGGAGAAAAAACCCCCUGUGAUGGCAGGACCCCAGAGGACCGGGAUGAGAUGUGACCCCAGCUGCUGCUGCUGCAGCACAUGGGAACCUGCUCAAGGAACCCUAAACCUCUUCCCAGGGAGUACAGCAUCACCUCUGUGCAAAAGACUGCUUCAUGGGGAACUGAAAUGGGGGAAAUCUGCCUGGCUGCCAUCACAGCACAGACUGGUGCAAAAAAACUCUUGUCUGGCAGCUCAGCAUCAAUCAAACCUCUGCCACUGGUGAGCUCUGCUACACACACAGAGCCAGCCUUGCUCCACUGAGCACCAGGAGGCCUCGACCCUGAUGCCUCGCCAGCCUUUGGCCAGCUCAAGGUUUAUCCCUUUAGUGCAGACAGCCCUGGAUGGCUGCCCCUGCUGCAGGAGAGCCCUUUGUGUGCAGCUCUCCGAUCCCGGCGGCUCCGUUUCCCUCAGCAAUGGGAGCAGGAGCCCAGCAGGGCUCGUGCUGCUGCUGGCUGGGAGAUGCCCCUCAGCGCAGCCAGGCCAGUCCAACCCAGCACCCACCUCCCCUGAGAGUGUGCAGGCUGCCUGCCCAGCCCACAGCUCUGCUGGGUGCAUCCUAAGCACAGCCCAUUCCAUGACUGAAAUCCUGCCCAAAGCAGCACCGGUGGCAGCGCGUGUCCCUUCCCAAGGGCUCUCUCCGUGUCCACAGCCCAACGCUGCCCUGAGCUGGGCCAGACCCGUCUCUUUGGGACUCUGCUGUUCUCUGUAGUGGGAAUCUGUUUCCCUUCCCUGUUUUGAUCCUAUAAUUUCCUAAAUUCACACCCAUGGGAGGUGGGGUGCUCCCGGGUGUUCAGGUACCCUCAAACCUUAAAUAUGGAUGCCAGGUUGAUCUUGCCCAGGAUGAGCUACCUGCCAGGCAAAGGUGCUCUCUCCAGAAAGGAUGAGGCAGGAGGCUGUCACCUGGUAUAACCUUCCCAGUGAGAUGACCUUGGAUCUCCUGCUGCUUCUCAGCUCAGGCAGAACAAAGCAGUCUUUUGUUCCCGCAGCUCAGGGCUGGCUCUUUUAGUACCUGGGCAUUUUCUGGAUUCCUGGACUUCCCCAGCAACUCCAGAGCUUACAGCCUGGACCAAAGGGACAAUGCCUUUCUGCUCUCUCUGCUACACAUCCCAGUCAAGACAGCCAUGAGGAUGGAGCUUUGGUCCAGCUGGAACCUGAAGCCAGAUGUCCAGAAGUCUGUUGCUGGCCUUGCUGGAGAGGAGGUGUCAGUUCUGGCACCAUGGACUUUGGAUCAGAAAAUAGAAAUAUACAGAUAUCGAAACAAGCUUGGGGUUUCUUGAGGAGUCCAAGUUGAUGAGCUCUUCCUGCCGAGGAGUCAGUCAAUGGGGAAGGAGGCGGCUGGGAUGGGCGCCCUGCGGAACAGCAGGCUGGAGCCACGGAACAGCUGCCCCUGAGGAGGAGAGCACGGCGUCAGGGCAGCCUGAGACCUGGCCAGGGAACUAAAGCUGCUUUAGCAGGGCCCGACUCCGUGCCCAUGGCAGGGCUGCAAGGCCUGGGCACCCUGGGCUGCUCUGCAGGAGAAAGUGGGGAUCCAGCCCCGUGGGUGCUGGAGCUGGGCAUUUCCCCCAGAGGUGACAGAUGGAGAGGGGCACAGACUCUGCUGUGUGCAAUGCACAGGCUGAAAGCUCGCGGGAUGCGAGCUUGGGGUGUGCAAUGGGCAGAGCAGCACUGCCAUGCUGGUACCAGUGCCACAACUGGAGGGAUAGAAGCAGGCUACAGGGCACGGCAAGGAUGCAGCACAGGCACAUUUGGGGAAUGCUGGAGACUUGGGGAAGGACCAGAGGGAGCCCAAAGCCCAGUGUGUGCACAGCUCCCUCACCUGAGCACUGAGAUGCCUCCAGCAGUGGAUCCAGGAUGCAAAGGCGGGUGCGUAGGGAGGGAGGCCGGCUCGCAACCUGCACGGCAACAGGGAACAGCUGAGGUGGAUGUGUCACCUUACCCACACAGGUAACACAAAAGCAGCAGGAAGUGCCAGUGAGGACACGGCAGGAGGGGGGGGGGGGGCCGUGUCCACACCGGGCCGGUGGCCAAGUGACAGCUCGUUAUUUACAAUGCAG